AGCUAGCACCUAAUUUUCAAGGACAUGCUGGAUGUUUUAGCAGCAGCACAUUCCUACCUGGAGAAGCACUUGGGAGACCUACAGAGUGGUGGCAAGGAGGGCUGGGAGAGUGGCCCCUCCAGCCAACUAUCUCCAAGCUCCAGAGGUUUUGGUCAGACUGGCUGGAUGCAUUGACAGCAGUGCUGAGGAACAGCUUUGGAAAGCCUUGUGCAGAGCUGUUAGGAUCAGGAAUUUGCUGGCUGCAUUGCUCCCAAGGACUGACACAGCUUGGCAGGAGAUCUGCUUCCCUGGGCUCAGCUGGGCUGUACACAAAGCUACCUGCUGCUGAGGGAAAAGACAUUUUGUGGGGAAAACCUCUGACUGGAAAAAUCAACGUCAAGACAACUUUUUAUGUUCCUCCUUCACCUCACUCCAGCCUCCACAUUAAAAAGUCCCUGGUUACAUGUUA